UGGGGAAUUUUGGACAAUGGGGGAAACCCUGAUCCAGCCAUCCCGCGUGUGCGAUGAAGGCCUUCGGGUUGUAAAGCACUUUUGGCAGGAAAGAAACGUCAUGGGUUAAUACCCCGUGAAACUGACGGUACCUGCAGAAUAAGCACCGGCUAACUACGUGCCAGCAGCCGCGGUAAUACGUAGGGUGCAAGCGUUAAUCGGAAUUACUGGGCGUAAAGCGUGCGCAGGCGGUUCGGAAAGAAAGAUGUGAAAUCCCAGAGCUCAACUUUGGAACUGCAUUUUUAACUACCGGGCUAGAGUGUGUCAGAGAGAGGUGAAAUUCCGCGUGUAGCAGUGAAAUGCGUAGAUAUGCGGAGGAACACCGAUGGCGAAGGCAGCCUCCUGGGAUAACACUGACGCUCAUGCACGAAAGCGUGGGGAGCAAACAGG
rnacentral:rRNA from 1 species